ACAUGCAAAGUCGAACGGCAGCACAGUAAGAGCUUGCUCUUAUGGGUGGCGAGUGGCGGACGGGUGAGGAAUACAUCGGAAUCUACCUUUUCGUGGGGGAUAACGUAGGGAAACUUACGCUAAUACCGCAUACGACCUUCGGGUGAAAGCAGGGGACCUUCGGGCCUUGCGCGGAUAGAUGAGCCGAUGUCGGAUUAGCUAGUUGGCGGGGUAAAGGCCCACCAAGGCGACGAUCCGUAGCUGGUCUGAGAGGAUGAUCAGCCACACUGGAACUGAGACACGGUCCAGACUCCUACGGGAGGCAGCAGUGGGGAAUAUUGGACAAUGGGCGCAAGCCUGAUCCAGCCAUACCGCGUGGGUGAAGAAGGCCUUCGGGUUGUAAAGCCCUUUUGUUGGGAAAGAAAAGCAGUCGGCUAAUACCCGGUUGUUCUGACGGUACCCAAAGAAUAAGCACCGGCUAACUUCGUGCCAGCAGCCGCGGUAAUACGAAGGGUGCAAGCGUUACUCGGAAUUACUGGGCGUAAAGCGUGCGUAGGUGGUUGUUUAAGUCUGUUGUGAAAGCCCUGGGCUCAACCUGGGAAUUGCAGUGGAUACUGGGCGACUAGAGUGUGGUAGAGGGUAGUGGAAUUCCCGGUGUAGCAGUGAAAUGCGUAGAGAUCGGGAGGAACAUCCAUGGCGAAGGCAGCUACCUGGACCAACACUGACACUGAGGCACGAAAGCGUGGGGAGCAACAGGAAA
rnacentral:rRNA from 1 species